GGCGGAAUGGCGCAAUGGUAGCGUGUGGUCCUCCUAAGACUGAGGUUGUGGGUUCGAGUCCCAUUUCCGUCG
rnacentral:tRNA from 1 species